rnacentral:rRNA from 1 species
GAUGAACGCUGGCGGCGUGCCUAACACAUGCAAGUCGAGCGGACGGACGAGACGUUUGCUUCGCUGACGUUAGCGGCGGGCGGGUGAACAACACGUGUAUACCCCACCUAUAAGACUGGGAUAACUACGGGAAAGCGGAUCUAACACCGGAUAAUAUUUUGAACCACAGGGUUCAUAGGAGAAAGACGGUGUUGCUGUCACUACUAGAGGGUUCCGCGCUGCAUUGGCUAGUUGGUAAGGUAACGGCCUACCAAGGCUACGAUGCGUAGCCGAACUGAGAGGGGGAUCGGCCACACUGGAACUGAGACACGGUCCAGGCUCCUACGGGAGGCAGCAGUAGGGAAUCGUACGCAAUGGGCGAAAGCCUGACGGAGCAACGCCGCGUGAGUGAUGAAGGUCUUCGGAUCGUAAAGCUCUGUUAUUGGGGAUGAACAUAUGUGUAAGUAGCCGUGGCGAUCUUGACGGUACCUAGUCAAAAAGCACCGGCUAACUACGUG